rnacentral:rRNA from 1 species
GACGUAGGAGGCGAGCGUUGUCCGGAUUCAUUGGGCGUAAAGAGCGCGCAGGCGGUCUUGGUAAGUCGGAUGUGAAAUCCCCGGAGGCUCGAACCUCGGGUCUGCAUCCGAUACUGCCCGGCUAGAGGGUAGGUGAGGGGAGAGUCGGAAUUCCUGGAUGUAGCGGUGAAAUGACGGCAGAUAUCAGGAGGAACGACCGGUGGCGAAGGCGGAUCUCUUGGGCCUUACCUGAACGCCUCGAGGCGACGAAAGCCUAGGGGAGCGAACUGGA